rnacentral:misc_RNA from 1 species
GUAUAUGUUUUAUAGGCACAACAUUCUAUCGACAUACAUUGGGGUAAAUGAAACGACAUAGACCUGAAAGGCCUACAAAAAGUGCACAGGUGGAGAUAUAAAGAUGACAAGGCGUGCACAUGCUCCCUAGAGAACCAGCAACAACCCAUCAGGUUUAUUUCAAUAAUGAUCCUUCCGCAGGUUCACCUACGGAAA